rnacentral:rRNA from 1 species
UACAGGGGGUGCAAACGUUGCUCGGAAUUAUUGGGCGUAAAGCGCGCGUAGGCGGCCGCUUAAGUCGGAUGUGAAAGCCCCUGGCUCAACUGGGGAAGUGCACCCGAAACUGAGUGGCUUGAGUACUAAAGAGGGUCGCGGAAUUCCCGGUGUAGAGGUGAAAUUCGUAGAUAUCGGGAGGAACACCGGUGGCGAAGGCGGCGUUCUGGACUGCAACUGACACUGAAAAACGAAAGCCAGGGGAGCAAACGGG